rnacentral:sRNA from 1 species
UGGGUGGCAGUGGCGGGUUUGGAGGUGGAGGUGGAGGUGGAGUUGGCGGUGGUGUUGGUGCUGGAUUCGGAAGCGGAGGGGGUGUAGGUGCCGGUGGUGGUCUCAGGGGUGGAGGUGGAGUAGGGGCGGGUGGUGGCGGUGGAUUUGGUGGUGGUGCCGGGGGUGGU